rnacentral:lncRNA from 1 species
UCCUAAUUUGAGGCAUUAUGGUUAGUUUGGCCAGUAGCAGGCUCCUCGGGCUCUAGUUCUAGUAGGUAAGGAAUGUGAUGGUAAUGGUAGAAGUCAUUUACAGAGUGGUUGUGGUGGUCAUCAGGUAGGUAAAGGUGGUAAUCAACCUCAUCGAGCUGGUUCUAAGCUUGAUAAAAUGGAUGCUUAAAUUAAUGGUAGGGCUCAUAUCUAUG